GACGAACGCUGGCGGCGUGCUUAACACAUGCAAGUCGAACGAUGAAGCCGGAGCUUGCUCUGGUGGAUUAGUGGCGAACGGGUGAGUAACACGUGAGUAACCUGCCCUUGACUCUGGGAUAAGCGUUGGAAACGACGUCUAAUACCGGAUACGAGCUAGGACCGCAUGGUCACUAGCUGGAAAGAACUUCGGUCAAGGAUGGACUCGCCGCCUAUCAGCUAGUUGGUGAGGUAACGGCUCACCAAGGCGACGACGGGUAGCCGGCCUGAGAGGGUGACCGGCCACAGUGUGACUGAGCCACGGCCCAGACGCCUACGGGAGGCAGCAGUAGGGAAUAUUGCACAAUGGGCGCAAGCCUGAUGCAGCAACGCCGCGUGAGGGACGACGACCUUCGGGUUGUAAACCUCUUUUAGCAGGGAAGAAGCGCAAGUGACGGUACCUGCAGAAAAAGCACCGGCUAACUACGUGCCAGCCGCCGCUGUAACAC
rnacentral:rRNA from 1 species